GUGCGUUCUACAGCAGCAUAUUUGAGACAUCCAAGUUGGAAGAAACCCAAUUGGAGAUGGCAUUAUCAUAUUCUGCUAAUGGUAGGGAAAAGCACAGGAGCCUGGCAUGGCUGUCCUUUGAGAGGCCCAGCAUGCAGCUGAUUGAGACAGAUGCAGAUACUUACAUCCAACCACUGGACGGAGGUCAGGGAACCCUAUGGAAGAGUUAUGGGAAGCACUAAAGGAACUGAAGGGGAUGGAAACCCCAUAGGAAGAACAGGGUCAACUAACCUGGACCCCUGGAAAUAACCAGAGACUAAGCCACCAACCAAAGAGCAUACAGGGGCUGGCUGGAGGUCUCUGGCAUAUACGUAGCAAGGGCGCAUAUGCCUUAUCUGGACUCAGUGAUUGAAAAAUGUGCCUAAUCCUGAAGAGACUCGAUGCCCCAGAGAAGGAGGAAGUGAAAGCAGAAUGAGUGGGAAGGGCAACAUUUGGGAUGUAAAUAAAUAAAAUGAUUACUUUAUAAAAAGAGAAAA
rnacentral:lncRNA from 1 species